rnacentral:tRNA from 1 species
GCCUUCGUGAUACAACGGUAGCACACUUGGCUAAUAUACAAGAAGUUCAGGUUUGAGUCCUGGCGAGGGCG